AUGAGUGGUGUUUGGUAUGUUACAGGUGGUUGGCUCUUUGCUUGCGCAACAACUUCCAUCCGGCAUACUUCUUCAGUUGUCUGUCAAGGCUUUUUUAGCCUUAGCSGAAUGUGGGUUUCCUGUGCUGCCUACCUAAGUUAUGGUAUUUAGAAGCUUUAACMGUCAUGUAUUCAUUUGUCUUGUGUCAUACUCAUGACAUUAGAUGAACCUUGAAGCGGUCUCUUUGAUCCAUCGCAUUAGUGCGUGCAYUGAUGUUUUGGCUCAUUGAGCGUUGCUUGAUCUCUUGGAUAUAGAACCUCAUGUGGGCAYGGUGUCUUAUAAGGUCCAUGUUUUGCCCUUAUUUAGCGUUCACGCUUCUCUAAGAAUGACUGCUCGGCCCGCAUUGGCUCGUACCAGCGUGGYGGGUUAUGUCAAAGAGGAAUGCUACCUGGUUGAUCCUGCCAGUAGUCAUAUGCUUGUCUCAAAGAUUAAGCCAUGC
rnacentral:misc_RNA from 1 species